GACGAACGCUGGCGGCGCGCCUAACACAUGCAAGUCGAACGAGAGAGAGGGAGCUUGCUUCCUUGAUCGAGUGGCGAACGGGUGAGUAACGCGUGAGGAACCUGCCUCAAAGAGGGGGACAACAGUUGGAAACGACUGCUAAUACCGCAUAAGCCCACGACCCGGCAUCGGGAAGAGGGAAAAGGAGCAAUCCGCUUUGAGAUGGCCUCGCGUCCGAUUAGCUAGUUGGUGAGGUAACGGCCCACCAAGGCGACGAUCGGUAGCCGGACUGAGAGGUUGAACGGCCACAUUGGGACUGAGACACGGCCCAGACUCCUACGGGAGGCAGCAGUGGGGAAUAUUGCACAAUGGGGGAAACCCUGAUGCAGCGACGCCGCGUGGAGGAAGAAGGUCUUCGGAUUGUAAACUCCUGUUGUUGAGGAAGAUAAUGACGGUACUCAACAAGGAAGUGACGGCUAACUACGUGCCAGCAGCCGCGGUAAAACGUAGGUCACAAGCGUUGUCCGGAAUUACUGGGUGUAAAGGGAGCGCAGGCGGGCGAUCAAGUUGGAAGUGAAAUCCAUGGGCUCAACCCAUGAACUGCUUUCAAAACUGGUCGUCUUGAGUAGUGCAGAGGUAGGCGGAAUUCCCGGUGUAGCGGUGGAAUGCGUAGAUAUCGGGAGGAACACCAGUGGCGAAGGCGGCCUACUGGGCACCAACUGACGCUGAGGCUCGAAAGUGUGGGUAGCAAACAAGAUUAGAUACCCUGGUAGUCCACGCCGUAAAC
rnacentral:rRNA from 1 species